UUUCAAACACACAAAAACAAAAUAAAAAAAAUGUCUGUCUGACAAGAAAAAAAUAAAUUCCAUUCGGUCUACAUGUGUUGGUGUACAAAUAGCCAAACGCACACACACACAUUACAUUAAUUAAAAAUGGCAUUUUGAUUCAAGUUGAAAAAAAAUUCGUUUGUAACCACAAUGAUGUUGAUUACAUUUUUUUUUUGUUGUUGUUUCGAGCAAAUGGACAGAUUGAAAGAGACUAUGAUCUGAUGGAUUUUUGAUAUAAAUAAAAAUGAAUUGAAUGAACAGAAGAAAAAAAAGUCGACCAGGCCAAAAUAAGAAUACCACCCUAAAAUCAUUCAUUCAUCAGUCGACCGAAAAAAAUGUAAUCAAAAAAAAAAAAAAAAAGAAAACAAUGCGACGGUUAUGACCUAGAUCUUGAAUCCAGUGUGAUGGAGCCAUAUUCAUUCAUUUAUUCGUAUGAUAUGAAAAACGUAUUAUACAUACGUAUUAUUCCAAUUAUUUUGUUACUUUGUGACCAAAUAUUCGAAAAACUCUAUCAUUAUCCUCCACAUGUUUCAUCAUCAUUAUUCAUCCAUAUGGUUUCUAUUGUUUUUUUUUCAUUUCUUAUUCAGAACAAUUGGAUCAUAACUAUUCUAGAGAAAAAAUCACCAUGUUACUAACAUAUCAUCAUUAUCGUUAAUCCGUGACAUACACAGCAAAAAUGUUCCGAUGGAUCCACCACACACACACACCACUUUUUGCAUUCAAAGACGAUUGAAUAAGUUUCUUUUUCAGUUCCGAUAACCAGUGCAAGUAUUUACAAAUUAUGUAUAUUCCUCCAUGUUUAUUUGUUU